GAUGAACGCUAGCGGCAGGCCUAAUACAUGCAAGCCGAACGGCAAGUUGAGUAGCAAUACUUGACCUAGAGUGGCGUAAGGGUGCGUAACACGUAUGCAAUCUGCCCUGUACAGGAGAAUAGCUCGGGGAAACUCGAAUUAACACUCCAUAAUAUCACGUGAGGGCAUCUGAAUGUGAUUAAAACUGAGGUGGUACAGGAUGAGCAUGCGCAUGAUUAGCUAGUUGGCGGGGUAACGGCCAACCAAGGCGAUGAUCAUUAGGGGAACUGAGAGGUGGAUCCCCCACCCUGGAACUGAGAUACGGGCCAGACUCCUACGGGAGGCAGCAGUAGGGAAUAUUGGACAAUGGGUGCGAGCCUGAUCCAGCCAUGCCGCGUGCAGGAAGAAGGCUUUCUGAGUUGUAAACUGCUUUUGCCAGAGGAUAAAAAGCCCGUGCGCGGGAAAUUGAAGGUACCUGGUGAAUAAGCCACGGCUAACUACGUGCCAGCCGCCGCGGUAA
rnacentral:rRNA from 1 species